rnacentral:lncRNA from 1 species
GGCAGGUUUAUGGCAAGCAUGUGUUCGGCUGUUAUGGCUGCCAAAAGGGAAGCCGGUUCCUUCAUAAUCAACAUGUAAUCAACACAAAUCCCUGUUCUCAUCAUCUUGCCUUUGAAAUCCAUUGUGCAUUUUACAUGAGUGGUGCAUCUUAUUUCAUAUUUUAAGUUCUCAGUAGUCAUAUAAGCUAGUGGAUUUGGCAGUGGCCAGCUCAAUUCUAAGGAUUUUAGGAGACAAGAUUGAUGGGGGAGGUCCUUCUGUGUAUAUGUUUGUCUUAUUGGUUGAUAAAUAAAGCACUGUUGGCCAAUAGGGAAGCAAGAUAGGGGGGACUAGGAGAGAAGGAGGAUUCUGGGAAAUGUAGUAAAGGGAGGAGUCGCCAUGUGAUCCUAGCAAGAGAGGACUCAUGCCACCAUUGUCCUUGAUAAGGGUAAAAUUUGCCAUUGUUUCAUGCCUGCUGCACACUACACAGUGGUACCUUGGUGAGGACUCCACUCACAAAUCAAGGGAGCAAGAGUGAGCCUGUUCGCAUGUGAGCUCCCAUGAAAGAUCUGUGAAGACCCCACGGAACUGUGUAAAUCUCAAGAGGAUGACAGCCAGACUGAGACAGUACAACACCACUUGCUCUACAUGCUUCCCAUAGCCUUAUGUGUUAGAUGUGGUUAGGCUGGACCAUAAACUCAUUGGUACCUCUUGGCUGCUCAGAAUGGUUACGAAGGAUGGCCAAUGGGGUUUCAUCGCCAAGUAGGAGCAACUAUAUUUUAGAAUUACCUUGUAGAGCCCUGUUGAAGAUGCUGAUCCUGGAUCCUGACUUAGCAGUAAAGAGCCCCCUGCCUGUUCAUUACACUUCCAGUGAGGUGGGAAGGCUGAUAGAAUAAUUACAUAUUUAUUAUCCUGAAAACAAAAGAAGAACUUAGGGGAAAUGGCUGUCUGCAUUUGUGGCUCCUUUAAAUAAGGUCUCAUCGUGAUGGUCUGAGGUUAAUAGACAAAACCAAAGGGUGAGACAAGACUUCAAGAUAUGAGAGAAAAAGCAAAUGGUGAGGAUUCUCCCUGGCUUCUGGGUCUCCUUAUUUUUUUUAAAUUAGAAUAGAACUUUAUUUGUGGAAUUGAGAUUUUGAAAAUGAUUUUAUAGUUUAUGCGGUAAAUUUUGAUACAUUAAUCUGGAUAUACAUUUACCAUAUAAGAAAGAAUUUAAAAACAAUGUUGAAUAUCUUAUCACCAAAACCAAUUGUGUUCAACUUGAUAUUUUUAAGGAAUAACUUAGGUAUUAUAAAUAAAAAGCGAAAACAAAUUACCAUUAGGGUCUGCAUUUGUAACAUAAUUUUGUGUUUCAUUUGUCAGGGGAGGAGAAUUAGAGAAAAUGAAGACUAAAAUACUUUCUUAGAAAAGUACAAAGCCUUUGCUUUGUGAAAUUGGCUCCACAACUCCCCAGCAGUCGAAUGUCGCUGAGACAUUUCCAUGCAGACUGGCAUGAGGAGCUGUGUGAUCUAUCCAGGUUCCUCCAGACCAUUGGUCCACACCUGGGCGAGUCUUUAAUAAAAGGCAGUGCAAGGCUCAUUUCCACAGAGGGCGCCCUCAGAGGACCUGCCCCCUCGCCCUGAUUCUGCAUUCGGGACACAUCUGAAUAUAAAUCAGGAAAGCCAGCACCAGAAACACCUAUCUAUGAACUUGGUUCCAGUUGAAUCAGAGACUCUGACAAUGGGGUCUGGAGAUCUGACCAAAAAAAGCCAGGGAAUUCGGACUCACUUUAGGCCACAGGGAUGGUGAGGUUCGGUGGACACGCUCCAGUGGGAUUGGUCUACAGAAAGGAUAUCCUGGUCUGGCUUACACACAUCCGUGGAAAUGCAAACCAUUUGUGGCAAGAUGACUGCCAGCAAUGUCUGUUACUAUUACUUACCUUUGGCGAAACAACAUGAAACAGCUUCAGCUUUUGAGUUUUGCUAUCUUAAACCUCAUUUUCUAGGCUUUUGGCAGAAGUUGUUCAUGCACGAAGGGGAAAAUGGUAGUUAAGUUGGGGAUUCUCACCUUGGUCUUGGAGACAUUUAGGCUAGAUGAUUUUUGAUGUAGGAGCUGGCCUGCAUGGUGAAAGUUUACCAGCAUCCCCGGCCUCCACACUGUUCCCAAGCUAGGUCUUGACAAUCGGAAGCCUUUCCAGACACUGCCUGGGACUCUGCAGAGCAAAAGUGUACUUGGCUGGGAAACACUAACCUAAGCCAUGGUAGUUCUAGUCCAUAGUGGCCGCAAAGGAGGAAUGUGGCAGCCAGAGGACAGUGGAGCUCACUAGGGCCCGAGGGCUCACCUAGUAUGAGUGACUGUGCCUCUGUCUCCCCUGCACCAGCAUCACCUACACGGUGAUCAGGGCAGAGAAGAUCAUCAAGAUCAUAUCCAUGUGGACAGCUCCAUGGCCCUGGUGUAUCUGAAGCGUCUUGGGUGAGAUCUUACAAGGCUGCAACUGACUAACAAGCCAUGAAAAAGCCUUUGUGUCUGGCAAAACCUCAACAACACACUGGCCAGUAGGACAAUGAGGAUUUCAAAUCUGGCUAGCGGUGCAGUCAGAAGCCUGUGACCUUUUAAGGGGUCUUGUUGGGUAUACCAGCCUUUGGGGGUCUCUCCUUUUCCAGCGUUUCUACAGAACCUGGAAUUAUCCAGCACUUCAGAAAAAGGCCCCAUCCAAACCCCAGGGGUGCCCCCUGCUGGAAAAGGCAUAGAAAUGACCUUUCUGAGAUACU